UGGUUCUGGCAUCGAUGAAGAACGCAGCGAAAUGCGAUAAGUAAUGUGAAUUGCAGAAUUCAGUGAAUCAUCGAAUCUUUGAACGCACAUUGCGCCCAUUAGUAUUCUAGUGGGCAUGCCUGUUCGAGCGUCAUUAAGUCCACUUAAGCCCAGCUUAGUGUUGGGAGACUGCUUUCGCGGUAGCUACCCUGUAGCUACCCUGCAGCUCCUCAAAGACAGCGGCGGAGUUGUAGUAUCCUCUGAGCUUAGUAAUUUAUUCUAGCUUUCGAGUAGACCACUUCCCUUGCCGUAAAACCACCAAUUUUUAAUGGUUGACCUCGGAUCAGGUAGGAAUACCCGCUGA
rnacentral:misc_RNA from 1 species